GACGAACGCUGGCGGCGUGCUUAACACAUGCAAGUCGAACGGAAAGGCCCUGCUUUUGUGGGGUGCUCGAGUGGCGAACGGGUGAGUAACACGUGAGUAACCUGCCCUUGACUUUGGGAUAACUUCAGGAAACUGGGGCUAAUACCGGAUAGGAGCUCCUGCUGCAUGGUGGGGGUUGGAAAGUUUCGGCGGUUGGGGAUGGACUCGCGGCCUAUCAGCUUGUUGGUGGGGUAGUGGCUUACCAAGGCUUUGACGGGUAGCCGGCCUGAGAGGGUGACCGGCCACAUUGGGACUGAGAUACGGCCCAGACUCCUACGGGAGGCAGCAGUGGGGAAUAUUGCACAAUGGGCGGAAGCCUGAUGCAGCAACGCCGCGUGCGGGAUGACGGCCUUCGGGUUGUAAACCGCUUUCGCCUGUGACGAAGCGAGAGUGACGGUAAUGGGUAAAGAAGCACCGGCUAACUACGUG
rnacentral:rRNA from 1 species